GUCUUUUUGAGUAUAAUUUAAAGUCCAAUCUGCCCAAUGAGGAAUUUAAAUGGCUGCAGUAUUUUGACUGUACAAAGGUAGCGUAAUCAUUAGUUUCUUAAUUAGAAAAUAGUAUGAAUGAUUAGACGAGAUAAUAGCUGUCUCUAUUUAAAACAUAGAAUUUUAUUUUUAAGUAAAAAAGCUUAAAUUUAUUUAAAAGACGAGAAGACCCUAUAGAGUUUUAUAUUUUAGUUAUAUAUAAUUGUAAGAAUUUAAAAUUAUAAUAAUGAAAAUUAUUUUGUUGGGGUGACAUAAAAAUUUAAGUAACUUUUUAAUUUAGUACCACAAAUAUGUGUUUAGUUGAUCCAUAUUUUAUGAUUAAAAGAAAAAAUUACCUUAGGGAUAACAGCGUAAUUUUUUUUGAGAGUUCUUAUCAAAAAAAGAGAUUGCGACCUCGAUGUUGGAUUAAAAUUUAAUAUUGGUGAAGAAGCUAAUAAUUUAGGUCUGUUCGACCUUUGAAAUUUUACAUGAUCUGAGUUUAAACCGGCGUAAGCCAGGUUGGUUUCUAUCUUUAAAAAAAGAAAUAUUUUAGUACGAAAGGACCAAAUAUUUAUAAUAAUUAUAUAUAUUGAAUUA
rnacentral:rRNA from 1 species